UACGGAGGGAGCUAGCGUUGUUCGGAAUUACUGGGCGUAAAGCGCACGUAGGCGGCCUUUUUAAGUCAGGGGUGAAAUCCCGGGGCUCAACCCCGGAACUGCCCUUGAAACUGGAGAGCUAGAAUCUUGGAGAGGCGAGUGGAAUUCCGAGUGUAGAGGUGAAAUUCGUAGAUAUUCGGAAGAACACCAGUGGCGAAGGCGACUCGCUGGACAAGUAUUGACGCUGAGGUGCGAAAGCGUGGGGAGCAAACAGG
rnacentral:rRNA from 1 species